CUUCCGUUGAGCUUCUAAUCAAUUCUCAGAACGAUCUUCAAAGAAGAAGAAUGGUCUAAAAGAAUGGAAAUUGGGUAUUUCUAUACCAGGUGUUUCCAUGGUGAGAAGGUAUGUUAUUCGAGGUUCUGAGAAUACCAACAUGAGUAAGGAAAAUGUGAUCCCUCUUCCACAUUGUAGCAAUGUUGUUCCUUAAAGACUUCAAAGCCUGUAAGUCUUUAUAGUUUUCUUCUAUCAUAAGUAAAAAUGAGAUAUAAGUAACGGUAUAAUCGCUUACAAUGUUCGAUCAGUUGCUACAGCAGUCAAGUGUUUUUCCAAAUAGGUUUGCCUUUAAAACGUUUCUCCAUAUACGAUUAAAUCAGUUCAUCAUAUUCAUAGUCAACUUAUUCUUAUUUUCAGAAUAGUCUGAUUCUCUUUCGGUCUUAUAUUGUUCCUGUUAAGUUACAGUAAUCUGAGUAUGACAUUCAUUAACAUUUACUGCAGGU
rnacentral:lncRNA from 1 species